CCUACGGGCGGCAGCAGUCGAGAAUCAUUCACAAUGGGGGAAACCCUGAUGGUGCGACGCCGCGUGGGGGAAUGAAGGUCUUCGGAUUGUAAACCCCUGUCAUGUGGGAGCAAAUUAAAAAGAUAGUACCACAAGAGGAAGAGACGGCUAACUCUGUGCCAGCAGCCGCGGUAAUACAGAGGUCUCAAGCGUUGUUCGGAAUCACUGGGCGGAAAGCGUGCGUAGGCUGUUUCGUAAGUCGGGUGUGAAAGGCGCGGGCUCAACCCGCGGACGGCACAUGAUACUGCGAGACUAGAGUAAUGGAGGGGGAACCGGAAUUCUCGGUGUAGCAGUGAAAUGCGUAGAUAUCGCGAGGAACACUCGUGGCGAAGGCGGGUUCCUGGACAUUAACUGACGCUGAGGCACGAAGGCCAGGGGAGCGAAAGGGAUUAGAUACCCGUGUAGUC
rnacentral:rRNA from 1 species